AACGCACCUUGCGCCCUUUGGUAUUCCGAAGGGCAUGCCUGUUUGAGUGUCAUUAAAUUCUCAACUUCAAAAUCUUUUUGAAGCUUGGACUAUGGAGGUUAUUUGCAGGCAUUCACUUUGUCAGCUCCUCUUAAAUGCAUUAGCGGAACUUUAUUAAGGACCAGCUUUGGUUUGAUAAUCCUAUCUAUGCCGUCGCUGUGGACUUGUUCAGCUUCUAAUGGUCUUCGGACUGUCUCAUUAACCGAGGCAUACACUUUUAAGCUUGACCUCAAAUCAGGUAGGACUACCCGCUGAACUUAA
rnacentral:misc_RNA from 1 species